GUCUAGAGAAGACACUGGGCGCUGUAGGGCUGUUGGCCCCAAAGGGUCGUGGGGUGUCCCUUAUGCUGUGCUGAGGUGCAGGAUCCGAGAAGUAAAGAGACAGGACACUGAGGAACUGGUGAUGAGCAUCUGGACUUGGGGGGGCCACGCCACCUAUGAGCAGAGACAGGCGAGGCCCGGAACUCUCAGAAGCAUCUGUAUUUAUUAGGUACAAGCAGGGGAAGGGUUGUAAGUGAGGUCAUCACCUAUAGGCU